rnacentral:rRNA from 1 species
CUACGGGCGGCAGCAGUGGGGAAUAUUGCACAAUGGGGGAAACCCUGAUGCAGCCAUGCCGCGUGUGUGAAGAAGGCCUUAGGGUUGUAAAGCACUUUCAAUGGGGAGGAAAAGUUAGUAGUUAAUAGCUGCUAACCCUGACGUUACCCAUAGAAGAAGCACCGGCUAACUUCGUGCCAGCAGCCGCGGUAAUACGAGGGGUGCAAGCGUUAAUCGGAAUUACUGGGCGUAAAGCGCGCGUAGGCGGUUGCCUAAGCUAGAUGUGAAAGCCCCGGGCUCAACCUGGGAACUGCAUUUAGAACUGGGCAACUAGAGUACAGCAGAGGAGUGUGGAAUUUCAGGUGUAGCGGUGAAAUGCGUAGAGAUCUGAAGGAACAUCAGUGGCGAAGGCGACACUCUGGGUUGAUACUGACGCUGAGGUGCGAAAGCGUGGGGAGCAAACAGGAUUAGAUACCCGGGUAGUC